GCUGAGCCGCGGCCGGGCAGGGCGGAGGGGCCGCGGGCGCAUCCCCCAGCACCUCUCAGCCAGCGGCUAAAGAAGAUCUGCAAAGAAUGGCAAAGAAGAUUUUCGAUUAAAACCUUAGCCCAUCUCCACGGAUUACUUUAUAUCGAUUCCUAUAUAUAUGGCUGCAAUUGAGGGGCUCUAAUUAAAAAUCCAAAGGGGGGGGGGGGGGGCGAAAGGGAAAAAAAAAUAAAAGUUCUUUCUGGGUCUCAAUAAAAGGAGCUUUUCAUAUACGGGAAAUAAAGGUUGUAAAAGGUUACAAACGAAAGACUA